GAAAUUACCGGCAAGGGUUGUAGCUGGCCUUUCGGGGCAUGUGCACACCCGAGCCUUUAAUCCAACAUACACCUGUGAACCCAAUGUAAGGGCCCGUAAAAAGGCCCCUACGUCUUUAUCACCAACUCUGUAUUCAUAGAAUGUAAUCCAUAUCUUCGCCUUAACAAGCGUUGGUAAAACUUAUACAACUUUCAACAACGGAUCUCUUGGCUCU
rnacentral:misc_RNA from 1 species